rnacentral:rRNA from 1 species
AUUGAACGCUGGCGGCAGGCCUAACACAUGCAAGUCGAGCGAGCGGCGGACGGGGGAGUAAUGUAUAGGGAAUGUCCGAUAGCGAGGGAUAACUACUGGAAACGGUAGCUAAUCCCGCAUACUAUCGGAUAACCCAUAUGGGAUUAGCUAGUCGGUGAGGUAAUGGCUAACCUAGGCGACGAUCCCUAGCUGGGCUGAGAGGAUGAUCAGCCACACUGGGACUGAGACACGGCCCAGACUCCUACGGAGGCAGCAGGGGGGAAUAUUGCACAAUGGGCGCAAGCCUGAUGCAGCCAUGCCGCGUGUAUGAAGAAGGCCUUAGGGUUGUAAAGUACUGUCAGUCGGGAGGCGUUACCGACAGAAGAAGCACCGGCUAACUCCGUGCCAGCAGCCGCGGUAAUAC